GAGUUUGAUCGUGGCUCAGAUUGAACGCUGGCGGCAGGCCUAACACAUGCAAGUCGGGCGGUAGAGAGAAGCUUGCUUCUCUUGAGAGCGGGCGGACGGGUGAGUAAUGCCUAGGAAUCUGCCUGGUAGUGGGGGAUAACGCUCGGAAACGGACGCUAAUACCGCAUACGUCCUACGGGAGAAAGCAGGGGACCUUCGGGCCUUGCGCUAUCAGAUGAGCCUAGGUCGGAUUAGCUAGUUGGUGAGGUAAUGGCUCACCAAGGCGACGAUCCGUAACUGGUCUGAGAGGAUGAUCAGUCACACUGGAACUGAGACACGGUCCAGGCUCCUACGGGAGGCAGCAGUGGGGAAUAUUGGACAAUGGGCGAAAGCCUGAUCCAGCCAUGCCGCGUGUGUGAAGAAGGUCUUCGGAUUGUAAAGCACUUUAAGUUGGGAGGAAGGCAGUAAAUUAAUACUUUGCUUGUUUGACGUUACCGACAGAAUAAGCACCGG
rnacentral:rRNA from 1 species